UAGGGAAUCUUCCACAAUGGACGCAAGUCUGAUGGAGCAACGCCGCGUGAGUGAAGAAGGUCUUCGGAUCGUAAAGCUCUGUUGUUGGUGAAGAAGGAUAGAGGCAGUAACUGGUCUUUAUUUGACGGUAAUCAACCAGAAAGUCACGGCUAACUACGUGCCAGCAGCCGCGGUAAUACGUAGGUGGCAAGCGUUGUCCGGAUUUAUUGGGCGUAAAGCGAGCGCAGGCGGAAUGAUAAGUCUGAUGUGAAAGCCCACGGCUCAACCGUGGAACUGCAUCGGAAACUGUCAUUCUUGAGUGCAGAAGAGGAGAGUGGAACUCCAUGUGUAGCGGUGGAAUGCGUAGAUAUAUGGAAGAACACCAGUGGCGAAGGCGGCUCUCUGGUCUGCAACUGACGCUGAGGCUCGAAAGCAUGGGUAGCGAACAGGAUUAGAUACCCUGGUAGUCCAUGCCGUAAACGAUGAGCGCUAGGUGUUGGGGACUUUCCGGUCCUCAGUGCCGCAGCAAACGCAU
rnacentral:rRNA from 1 species